UACGUAGGGUGCAGGCGUUAAUCGGAAUUACUGGGCGUAAAGCGUGCGCAGGCGGUUUGCUAAGACAGGUGUGAAAUCCCCGGGCUUAACCUGGGAACUGCGCUUGUUACUGGCAGGCUUGAGCGUGGCAGAGGGGGGUGGAAUUCCACGUGUAGCAGUGAAAUGCGUAGAGAUGUGGAGGAACACCGAUGGCGAAGGCAGCCCCCUGGGCUAACACUGACGCUCAUGCACGAAAGCGUGGGGAGCAAACAGG
rnacentral:rRNA from 1 species